GGUGAGUAACACGUGGGCAAUCUGCCCUUCACUCUGGGACAAGCCCUGGAAACGGGGUCUAAUACCGGAUACUGACCCUUGCAGGCAUCUGCGAGGUUCGAAAGCUCCGGCGGUGAAGGAUGAGCCCGCGGCCUAUCAGCUUGUUGGUGAGGUAAUGGCUCACCAAGGCGACGACGGGUAGCCGGCCUGAGAGGGCGACCGGCCACACUGGGACUGAGACACGGCCCAGACUCCUACGGGAGGCAGCAGUGGGGAAUAUUGCACAAUGGGCGAAAGCCUGAUGCAGCGACGCCGCGUGAGGGAUGACGGCCUUCGGGUUGUAAACCUCUUUCAGCAGGGAAGAAGCGAAAGUGACGGUACCUGCAGAAGAAGCGCCGGCUAACUACGUGCCAGCAGCCGCGGUAAUACGUAGGGCGCAAGCGUUGUCCGGAAUUAUUGGGCGUAAAGAGCUCGUAGGCGGCUUGUCACGUCGGUUGUGAAAGCCCGGGGCUUAACCCCGGGUCUGCAGUCGAUACGGGCAGGCUAGAGUUCGGUAGGGGAGAUCGGAAUUCCUGGUGUAGCGGUGAAAUGCGCAGAUAUCAGGAGGAACACCGGUGGCGAAGGCGGAUCUCUGGGCCGAUACUGACGCUGAGGAGCGAAAGCGUGGGGAGCGAACAGGAUUAGAUAC
rnacentral:rRNA from 1 species